AAGAUUGCAUAAAUAAAACCAAAAGUUAAAAGCAGAGAAAUAAUUUCCCGCGAGAUUGGGCGGAGUGACAGAGAAAUGUCAGGCAGCGAACAACAGCAAGUAGCGCAGUCAGUGGCGGACGAACAGUCGCUGAGGGUAGCCGUCGCCAUCUCUCUUCUCCGAUCAAAACUUCUCCAAAAUCAGCCCCUUCCUCCUCCUCCACCCUCUGUCGAUCAAUCCGACGCUCUCCGAUGGAAGCGAAAGGCCAAGGAGCGAAAGCUCGAGCUUUUGAGACUCCGGCAGGAUCUCAACGAAGCUGAAGACGCUUCGCAGUGCGACUUGUUCCCGGAGAGCGCUUCCUGCAAGUGUUAUUUCUUCGAUAAUUUGGGGAAAUUAAGCCCUAGCAAGCGGCUUCCAGAUCCCUCUCAAUGCAGAUUCAAUGACGUCUUGCGACGCAGAUUUCUUCGACACGUGCGUUUCAAGGAAAGGAGAAGAAGAAGGACAAGCGGAUCGUCCCAGCGCCGCCAUUUCUCAGACACAAACAGUGAAGAUGAAAUGGAGCAGCUUAGAGCUUCGAUCGAUUUUCUUGUGGAGCUUUGUGAAAGCGAUUCUCCUGUUAGAUCCGUAGACGAUGCUAAUUUUAUGAACCGGUCACACCAAGCUGUAGACUUUAUUCUAGCUUCACUGAAGAAUCUGUUAUCCACUGUAAAUAAUGUGGAACUCAUAGAAGGAAUUAUCAACAGCUUAAUCACGCGUUUGGUUAGACGAAUGUGUUUCCCGUUGCAGGGAAAUGGAUCAGAACACUCUGAAUCUGAGGCUCAGUUUUUCGUUCAGCAUUUGAUCCGAAAGCUUGGAAGCGAGCCUUACGUUGGACAACGUGCAUUAUUCUCAGUUUCUCAGAGAAUUUCCGUCCUGGCGGAAAAUUUCCUCUUCAAAGAUCCAUUUGAUGAUGCUUUUACAAACAUGCAUCAAUGCAUGUUCAUACUGGACCGAAACCCAACUUGCUUGUUUUCUGCAUCCUUUUAUUCCUUGACAAUUUGGAUAUAAAACGUUGUUUGAGGAUCCACAAACCCAAAUACUGAGCAGAAAGGCAUUACCAUGGGAUUUGAGUUCCGUCCUUCGAGUGGCAAAAAUCCGUUAAGAGUCUCAUUGUUUCCCUAGACAAAAAAGCAUCCUACCUUCUUCCCUCAUGUUUCUUCCACCGAGUCUGCAGAAUUGUGGAUGGUUCCUUGUCAGUUUACCUAAGGAUCCAGCUUACUGAGUUUUUGGUAUCCGAUUACUUAUCUGAAUGGUCAAAGGACGAAGGUUUCAACACCAUGCUGUUUGAAGAGUGGGUGGCAUCAGUUCUUCAAGCACGUAAAGCAUUAGAAGUUUUGGAGAGCAGAAACGGGCUUUAUGUGAUGUACAUGGAUCGAGUGGUAGGCGAAUUGGCAAGACUCGUGGGCCAAACUAUGUCCCUGCAGAAGCUCAGUCGUGAAGUUCUUGACAGUCUGUUUCACUGAACCUCAUCUCUGCAAAUUAUUUUACGAAUUAUUUUUCUUUUGGAACUUGUCAAUUCGCAGCAGAUAUCUUUUAAAUUUCUUAAAAGGUUGAGAUUUAUGUCAAUUGAGGGAAACCUCGCCAGGUGGAAUCGGUGGGAGUCAGCAUGUUUUUGUGAGAGGUGUCAGUACGUGGGUGCUGAUGAUGAUAUUUCCUAGUCAAGUUCCUUUCCGAUAAUAACGAGACCGCAUUUUUUGUACCGCAUGUGAGCACGGGCAUCCGUGUGAAUUGAUAUGAGUUGGAUUUGAGGCUUUUUUCAAACUUUUCGGAAGCGAAGUGCAAUUAGAUGUAUUUUAUAUA